rnacentral:rRNA from 1 species
AGGCAUCUGUCUCAGAUUAGCCAUGCAUGUGUAAGUAUAAGCGAUUGUACUGUGAGACUGCGAACGGCUCAUUAUAUCAGUAAUAAUUUCUUCGGUAGUUUCUUUUAUAUGGAUACCUGCAGUAAUUCUGGAAAUAAUACAUGCUGUAAGAGCCCUGUAUGGGGCUGCACUUAUUAGAUUGAAGCCGAUUUUAUUGGUGAAUCAUGAUAAUUGAGCAGAUUGACUUUUUUGGUCAAUGAAUCGUUUGAUUUUCUGCCCCAUCAUUUGUCGACGGUAGGGUAUUGGACUACGGGGACUAUAACGGGGGACGGAAAGUUAGGGCUCGACUCCGGAAAGGGAGCCUGAAAAACGGCUACCAUAUCCAAGGAUAGCACCAGGGGCGUAAAUUACCCACUGGGGACUCCACAAGGUAUUGACAAAAAAUAUCGAUGCAAACCGGGUAUGCGUUUUGCUAUCGAAAUGAAAGCAAUGUAAAACCCUCAUCAAGGAUCAACUGGAGGGCAAGUCUGGGGCCAGCACCCCCGGUAAUUCCAGCUCCAGAACCAUAUGCUAAAGUGGUUGCAGUUAAAAAGCUCGUAGUUGAAUUUCUGGCAUGGGCGACGCGAUACGCUGACCCUGCAUGGCGUAUCGUAUUGAUCUGCAUGUUGACGUCGUAUGACCAUCUUUCUACUGCAUUUCAUGCUACGAAGAUCUUUCACUGUAAUCAAAGCAAAUGUUCAAGCAGGUCGUAUGAACGGUAUGUUUAUAUCGGAUGAUAAGAUGAGGACUUGGGUGCUAUUUGGUGGUUUGCACGCCUGAUAAUGUUAAUAGGACAGUUGGGGUAUCGUAUAAGGAGCUAGAGUGAAUUCUUGGAAUCCGAAGACCGACCUAACGGAGGCAUCACCAAGCAGUGUUCAUUAUCAAGACGAAAGUCGGGAUCGAAGAUGAUUGAUACCUGGAGUUAGCCCUAACGUACGAUGCGACUGCAUUGUAGUCUUGUUAAUGGGCUCAGCAGCAGCCCUGAGAAAUCAAAGUCUUUGGUUCCGGGGGAGUAUGUCACAAGCUGAAACUUAAAGAAUGACAGAAGGCACCCCCGGAGUGGAGCUGCAUGAUAAAUUGACUCAAUCGACGGAUGAAAACUUCCCCGUCCCGACAUAGGUAGGAUUACAGAUUGAGAGCUCUUUCAAGAAUUUUUGGGGGGGGGGGCAAGGCCCGUUUUUAUUGGGGGGGGGAAUUUUUUGGGUAAAUUCCUUAAAGAAAGGGACCCUGGCCUUAUAAAAAAGGGGGGGGAAGGGAACCUAAUUCGUUUUUAACUUUUUAGAGGGACAUUUCCGGUUUACGGGCAGGAAGUUGGAGGCAAUAACAGGUUUGGGAUGCCCUUAGAUGUUUUGGGCCCCCCCCCCGUUCCCCUGAUGGGUUCAUCGGGUUUUAAUUUUAAUUUUUGGAAUUGAGUGCUUGGUCGGAAGGCCUGGCUAAUCCUUGGAACGCUCAUCGUGCUGGGGCUAGAUUUUUGCAAUUAUUAAUCUCCAACGAGGAAUUCCUAGUAAACGCAAGUCAUCAGCUUGCAUUGAAUACGUCCCUGCCCUUUGUACACACCGCCCGUCGCACCUACCGAUUGAACGGUCCGAUGAAACCAUGGGAUGUUUCUGUUUGGAUUGAUUUUUGGACAGAGGCAGAACUCGGGUGAAUCUAUGUAGCGAACAU